rnacentral:misc_RNA from 1 species
GAUGAAGAACGUAGCGAAAUGCGAUACUUGGUGUGAAUUGCAGAAUCCCGUGAACCAUCGAGUCUUUGAACGCAAGUUGCGCCCGAAGCCAUUAGGCCGAGGGCACGCCUGCCUGGGCGUCACACGUCGUUGCCCCCCCAUCUACUCCUUCGGGAUUGCGGGGGGCGGAUGAUGGCCUCCCGUGCGCCUCGUCGCGCGGUUGGCAUAAAUGCCAAGUCCUCGGCGACGCACGCCACGACAAUCGGUGGUUGCGAAACCUCGGUUGCCCGUCGUGUGCGGUCGUCGCGCAUCGAGGGCUCGAAAAAAUUGCCGGGCUCCGGCUCGGCUUUCAACGCGACCCCAGGUCAGGCGGGGUUACCCGCUGAAUUUAAGCAUAUCAAUAAGGGAGGA